CACACCUUUUUCAAACUAACAGGAUACCUUAGGGUCCUGGCAAAAGUGUGUAGCAACUUGUGAGAAAGAACUGAGUCAGGGGAAAAGUGUGGCCAUUGAUAAUACUAAUCCUGAUGUCGAGAGUAGAAAAAGGUACAUUGACUGUGCCAAGAAAACUGGAGCUUUAUGUAGGUGUUUUCUCUUCACUUGUACUCUAGAACAAGUGAAACACAAUAACAAGUUUCGGGAGUUGACUGGCAAGGAUCAAGCUCAUGUAGGCGUCAAUGACAUGGUACUGAACUCAUACAAUAUGUGUUUUAGUGAACGCUCCUGAAGAAGCUGUAA